rnacentral:rRNA from 1 species
GACGAACCGUGCGAACGUUGUUCGGAUUCACUGGGCUUAAAGGGCGCGUAGGCGGACGGUCAAGUCAGGGGUGAAAUCUUUCAGCUCAACUGGGAAAAGUGCCUUUGAUACUGAUCGUCUCGAGGGAGGUAGGGGCAUGUGGAACUUCCGGUGGAGCGGUGAAAUGCGUAGAUAUCGGAAGGAACGCCGGUGGCGAAAGCGACGUGCUGGACCUCUUCUGACGCUGAGGCGCGAAAGCUAGGGGAGCAAACGGG